AAAGGAAGAAGAAAAAGACCAAGAAGAAGAACUCCGCACAUUUACUGAGCUAACUACUCAGUCCUGUCCUUUUUGGAUUUUUUUUUUUUAAAAUGAGAAGAAAAUGUAUUUUCGGAUGCCCAGGAGACUACCCUCUUUUUAAGCUUCCCAAGGACGAGACGGUUCUUAAGCAAUGGCUGGACUUCAUCAUUCAAAAUAACACUCCGACGAAAAAAAAUUGGCACAUCUGUGCGAGGCACUUUACCGACGACAGCUUUCUAAACAAGAGGGAAUUUGACAGUGGACUAAUAACAAGAUUAUCACUAAAAGACGACGCAAUUCCAACGCUCAGAGGAGCCCAUGCGCCGUUGGCGUCUGCUCAGGGACUACCUCAGAUUAAACAAACUCGUCCGCCUGGUGCCACAAACUCGGCAUCGGAACACACUGAAUGUUUCCUUAGUACAAGAUCGGUGUCUACACAGUUGUCAGCUGGAACGUUGAGGUUACAGCACUACCGGAGUAAAGGUAAAUAUGGUGUUUACUUCUAAGUUAUUGUAUGUAUCACACAUUUCAAUUGUGUUUCUGCACAGGUGUACAAGCUACUGUUCACACUGCAAGCAGAGGCACAGACGCUGAUCAGUCUUUACCGCACUUCCUGUCAACACCGGUGAAAUCUGCACUUGGCGCACAAUCAAAACGACCUCGCAUGGAAGUUGGGAAGGAAGAGGAUGAUGACUUCAGGAUCUCCAGCCCUGUAUCUCAGGAUUCAAACUAUUACCCAGGAGAUACAGUCACAAACUUCUCUGACCUGAUUGACAUGGAGUCUCCUUCUGAGUUAGAAGAUGCAGAAUACAUUGUAUCUGAAAGCGCUCUUAGGGAGAUUUUUGAGAACUGCCCUGUGUGCGAGAGACACUGCAUAGUACAUCUGCGCAGAUGUGGAACAGUUGUUGCUUUCAAGCAGGACUGCCCACAUUGUUUUUUCACUCGGAAAUGGCAGAGCCAGCCAACGUUGGAGGAAAUUACCACAGAGUAGUCUGGAGGUCUCAGCGGCAGUGUAUUUCAACGGGGCGGGGAGAAUCACAUACAACAUUUGAAAGGAUUUGCGACACCGUAAGCUUUACGGUGCACCAGUGUGAUGCGCUUAGGAGGCAGAGGAUGAUGGGACGUCGAGAUUUAAUCCAGCUUUGCUUGGAAGCCAACAUGGCCUCCGCAGGAUCAACAAGCCGAAAUCUGUCUCCAAGGAAUUACCAGCACCAACUCACAAAACUAAGAUAUGUCAGAAAUCCAAAACGUCUGUAAUUAUAAGAAAUUGUAAAUAUUAUAACUAUUAAGGAUUGUAAUAAAUGUUUGUACAUUUUAAAAGUUUUUUUUCCUAUUUUCUGAAAACAUACUCUACCACUGUUUUUCUCCAGAGAAGCUCAUUAUCAACUCUGUCUAUAUUGUUGAUAUUUUGUAGGAAGUUCACUUAAAAUCCAGGAAGGUAUUUAAUGCAAUUUAGUUCUGCAGGCAGCUGAUAAAUCCUCCACACCUUACAGGAAAGAUAAUGUCAGUUUUUGUUUUUUCUGACAAAAAAGAAACGGACAUUUUCUGUCAGGAAGUGGUUCCUUCUCAUUCUGUCUAACCAAAUAGGAUUAUACAUUUGACAGAAAAUACCAGAUUAACUUGCCUUCUAGGUAAUUACUGACAUACACAUUUCUAAAUAACUAUGCUGACUAAAACUCUUGUUUUGGUCAAUUUUGAAUGUUUUGAAAUGUUCCUAUCAGAGAAGAAGGGACACAACUUUGGGAUCUCCUUGCAGCAACCAUGAUGGAAAAUAUUUUUGCAAAUAGAAACGUAUUUCUCUUUUUAUUAUUAACUUGAGGAAUUCAAUCAGAGAUUUUAGUUCUGACAGGAAGAGAGUAAUAUAUGUUGAGUUUGAAAACUUUAGUUUGUGAAUGAAAACAUUCGCAUAUAUAAUAAAAUUAUCCAUAUCUUCAAAUUCACUUUUUCCUGAAAAAGUACUGUAGUCGACAACAUCUGUGACUUUAUCAAAAAUAUGGUUAUGAAAAAUAUGAAAGUGCUUCUUUGGCUUUGUUAGAGAGAAUAUUUGUGAGGAGAGUUUGUAAAUGGCAUGCAGCAUUGUUGUGCUGAAGUGGGAUUGUUGGAAAUGUAGGAGGUUCUUAAAGAGGCAGGAACCCAAUUUCAAGGUUUUCGAUGCCGCUAUGACACUAAGUUAACUUUGUUUUCCGUAUAGACAGCAUUGUCAUCACUGAAGUUGACGUAGUUACUUGACUUUGUUAUAGAACCGCCUGGGAAACCCACAAUACUGCCCUUUUAAAUGUUCUUGUCUUCCUUCCGGCCAUCUUCCCAAUGCCUUCCACUUCAAAACGAUCACGCGUCUUGUUGUUUCCCGACCUCCGUGAGAUCCAGUCUGAGCGUUGCACAAUCAAAACCUUUGAGCACCUUCAUCUCAGCUCGGAGCUGGUUGUUUUUGAUCAUGCAGCCGCAGAGCUCCUCCAACAAAGCCCCCUCUCUAAUCACUGUAAAUACUUAUCCAAUGAAACGCUGUAGCUGAAGCGUCUUCAAGGCCCGCGCUCUUGUUUGGAUCAUCGGCGUGGAUUACGGCUCGCUGAGAGACGCUUGCAUCAGAUCCUCGCUGUUUGGGGGGGGGGAACAAAGCCAACACUGCUAAGCCUUUUUUAAACCUACAGUGCUUAGCGGGUCUGAGAUUUCAUUUCUGGGAAGAAACGCACAUGCAAAUGUGUCUGGAUAUGCUUCACAGCUGGGACGUCUUUUCAGCGGGAGACUCCAGACACACGCCUUGUUAUUAAUAAGGAUGAACCUCCUAUGAAACCCCUCUCGACAGCAAGAAGGAAGAAAAGCUAGUUCACACACUUUAAAGUCUAGAAUCUCGACCUGGCUCAGAAGACUUUCUAACUUGAUUGUACAACUGAAAAAAAAAAAGUGUUACUAUUCACUUGGCGUUCAUUUAGGUUAGCAGUACUGUUUAAUAAGGGUCUAGGGUAAGUUGAUGUUGUAAAUAUAGCUGGAACACCAGAGUUGCCACUUAAUAUUGCUAUAGACAUGUAUUAGAGAGAGGUAUGAGAAGCAUUUCUUUCAAAAAUUAACACUUUGAGUGUGGAUUAUUUCUGUGGAAAAAGUUGAUGGUCAGAUGAGAAAGAUUGAGCCGUUGGUUCACAGUGAGGAAUGUUUGGAUGAGUGAAGUUGAGGUUUGCAAACUGAUGAAGCUGCCAAACAUGAAAAUGAUUAUGCUAAUACUUUUAGCCAAGCUAGAUAGUUAGACAGUCCUUAUUUUCAUAUGUGUCAUACACCCUGUUGCAGGUGUCCAGCUCACAUGGGCUUACAAGACACAAUAAAAACAAACAGCUGGUCAGACAUGAAUAUCCUUUUAAACAUAAUGUGUCCUUUUUCCAAGGUGCCAGGCUUUCAAAAUAAACCUUGCUAAGUGAAACACA